rnacentral:rRNA from 1 species
UGAGGGAAAGGUGAAAAGUACCCCUAACAGGGGAGUGAAAUAGACCUGAAACCGUGCGCUUACAAGCGGUCGGAGCUCUUCGGAGUGACGGCGUGCCUUUUGCAUAAUGAGCCUACGAGUUACUGCUCACUGGCAAGGUUAAGUUAAUAACGGAGCCGAAGCGAAAGCGAGUCUUAACAGGGCGUGCAGUCAGUGGGCGUAGACGCGAAACCCGGUGAUCUACCCAUGGGCAGGUUGAAGUUGUGGUAACACACAAUGGAGGACCGAACCAGUUGACGUUGAAAAGUCUUUGGAUGACCUGUGGGUAGGGGUGAAAGGCCAAUCAAACUUAGAGAUAGCUGGUUUUCUGCGAAAUCUAUUUAAGUAGAGCGUUUAAAAACUUUGUUUUGAGGUAGAGCACUUAAUAAAUAAGGGGGGUGUAAAACUUUACUGAAUUUAAUAAAACUUCGAAUACAAAACAAAAGAAUUUAAGCAGACAGACUAUGAGUGCUAAGAUUCAUAGUCGAAAGGGAAACAGCCCAGACUAUUUGUUAAGGCCCUCAAAAGUAAUUAAGUGAAAAAGAAAGUGAAAAAAUUUUAACAACCGGAAGGUAGGCUUGGAAGCAGCCAUCCUUUAAAGAAAGCGUAACAGCUCACUGGUUUAGUUUUUUUGCGUCAAAAAUGUAUAGGGACUAAUAUUACUUGCCGAAACAAUAGAUUUAAAUGACUAAAAUUUUAUUGGUACAUUUAAAUGGUAGCAGAACGUUCUGUAGAUCUAAGAAGAUUUAUGGUAACAUAAAUUGUAGAGAUCAGAAGUGUAAAUGUUGAUAUGAGUAGCGAAAAACAAUGUGCGCUUUAGGCAAAGCAUUGUUGCCUUAAGUUCAAGGUUUCCAAAGCAAGGCUAAUCCUCUUUGGUUAAAUCGGUCCCUAAGAAUUUGACGAAAGUUAGUAUUUGAUGGGUGAUAAUAUUAUUCAAUUUAAAGUGACAAAAUAUGAAAAUUAUUUUUAUUUAAUGGUUAAAAUAAAAGUUUUUUAGUAUUUUCGAGAAAUAGCUUUAAAAAUCUAACCGUACUGUAAACCGACACAGGUGAACAAAUUUAGUAAAUUAAGGCACUUGAGAGAAUUGUACUGAAGGAACUCGGCAAAAUGACUCCGUAACUUCGGAAUAAGGAGUAGCUUUUUGAGGGAAACCUUAAAAAGCUGGCACAAAAUCGAGGACAGCGACUGUUUAAUAAAAACACAGGUCUCUGCAAAUUUGUAAAAAGAAGUAUAGAGACUGACGCCUGCCCGGUGCUGCAAGAUUAAUGGAAAAAGUUUUGGCUUUGACCUCAAACCCCAGUAAACGGCGGCUGUAACUCUGACGGUCCAAAGGUAGCGAAAUUCCUUGGCAUUUAAUUGGUGUCCUGCAUGAAUGGCGUAACGACUGUCCUACUGUCUCCAGUACAAUCUCAGUGAAAUUGAAAUCUCCGUGAAGAUGCGGAGUACCUGCGGCUAGACGGAAAGACCCUGUGCACCUUUACUAUAGUUAUGUAUUGUAAUAAAAAUUAUUAUGUAUAGAAUAUGUGGGAAGUUUCUAACAAAUCUUUACGCAAGUAAAUUAUUAAAACAAAAGUGAAAUACCACUCUUAAUAUUUUUUAUUACUUAUUGAUUAAGACAGUGCAUAAUGGGUAGUUUGACUGGGGCGGUCGCCUCCUAAAGAGUAACGGAGGCGCGCGAAGGUAGGCUCAGACCGGUCGGAAAUCGGUCGUUGAGUGCAAUGGCAUAAGCCUGCCUGACUGCGAGACUGACAAGUCGAGCAGAGACGAAAGUCGGUCAUAGUGAUCCGGUGGUC